rnacentral:misc_RNA from 1 species
UUCUCACUUCUAGUUCCUGACACAUUGAAACAAGUGAGAGCAUUUUUAAAAGAUUACACCAAGAUCACCACAUCAAUGUAUAUUUGCCCAAGUAGAACAGGCUGGUUUGUGGAUGCUGAAUUGUGCAACACAUUAUCAUAUGAUACAAUAGCCCUGUUUGGCAACAGCUUAGAGUUUAGUAUUUUGAACAGAGUCAAAACACUACUCCUCUCGGUAACAUAGUCUUUAUUCUAGCUUUUAGAGGUUAGAAGAAGGGUUCAUGAAAAGCAAUCCCUCUAAAAGUUAGGGAAUCCCUCUUAGAUUUUAGAGUUUGAGGGAAUAUUUUGACUAGGAUUAAUAAGAUUUUCUCGCUACGUUCACAUUUACCUGCUAGUAACUAAAUCAGCAAAUAUUGCCGAGCAGGGCCAAUACCUCAAAGUUGAGAACGGGUCAGCGAACUG